rnacentral:sRNA from 15 species
UUCUGUACCGGCACUGACCUAACCAUACAGUAUAUACAUAGAUGUGCCAGUUCAUAAAACGAACAUGUCGCACAGCGAAUACAGAAAACAUAAUCCCAGGGUUGAGUUUAAUUUUGUUUUGAGUCUUCAGCUUAUUGACAGUUGGGCGUGGGAACUAGCUGUUAUAUGUUUGAUUCGUACUACAAAAUAAAAACUGACACAAUUUCACAUUUGUAUUCUUAUUUUAGACAUAUUAUAUAAACGCCGUCGGUUCUCCACUUAAUACUUCUUAAGGGGAGAGUUUUUGUGAAAAUAUAUUGUAUAUGUUAUAGGCUCUGCACACUGAGCACAUCUCGGCGGAACGCAGCUCUGUUUGGAAGAUGGUUUGGCCAAAACCAAAAAGGAUGACACUUCGUUUCUGGAAGAGAUCGCUAGAGACCGACAGAGAGCACGACAUGAGGAAGGAGAAGAUGGUACAGGACUUAAUCAGCACCCAAACGAAAUUCCAGAACGAUCGUAUCCGUUCUGCUGACUGUUUAAAGUCAGCAGCACUGUUGCUGCUAUCGGGCUGUUCGCAAUGCUAAUAUGGUGUAAGCUCCCAAUUUUCCUUAAUCGCGCUGUUGUGCAUACAUAAUAUAUUGUGUAAAAUACAACAGCACAAUAUUAUGGCGCUAUUGUCAAGAACUAUUAAGAAUUUUUCUUCAUCAUCCAUUAUAAGAAAUUAAUAAAUCUUUCGCACAAAUUGAAUGUA